AAUAGAUACCCGGGUAGUCCACGCCGUAAACGAUGGAUACUAGCUGUUGGAGGUAUCGACCCCUUCAGUAGCGAAGCUAACGCGUUAAGUAUCCCGCCUGUGGAGUACGGUCGCAAGACUAAAACAUAAAGGAAUUGACGGGGAGCCGCACAAGCGGUGGAUUAUGUUCUUUAAUUCGAUGAUAACCGAUGAACCUUACCAGGGUUUGACAUCCUUGGAAUUUUGUCGAAAGACGAGAGUGCUUUAUUGAACCAAGUGACAGAUGAUGCAUGGCCGUCGUCAGCUCGUGCGCGAGAUGUUUGGUUAAGUCCCGUAACGAGCGCAACCCUUGUCCUUAGUUACCAGCACGUUAUGGUGGGCACUCUAAGGAGACUGCCGGUGACAAACCGGAGGAAGGUGGGGAUGACGUCAAGUCAUCAUGGCCCUUACGGCCUGGGCUACACACGUGCUACAAUGGUCGGUACAGAGGGUUGCCAAGCCGCGAGGUGGAGCUAAUCUCACAAAACCGAUCGUAGUCCGGAUCGCAGUCUGCAACUCGA
rnacentral:rRNA from 1 species